rnacentral:misc_RNA from 1 species
CAGAGUUCAUGCCCUUCGGGGUAGAUCUCCACCCGUGUUUAUUUAUACCUUUGUUGCUUCGGCGGACCCGUCUCACGACCGCCGGAGGACCGCCCGCAAGGCGUCCUCUGGCCAGCGUCUGCCGACAGCCAACCACUUAAACUCUGAAUAAAUCGUGUCACAUGUCUAAGUAAAUUGAUUAAAUAAAGCA